rnacentral:misc_RNA from 1 species
AAUUUUUUUUGUCAAGCACAAACUAUUCUUUUCAAUGGCCAAAAAUUAAAGUUCAAAUAAUUACAAAUGAUAAUCAAGUCUUCUACGAUUUUUUGUUUUGUUUUUUCAGUUUUCUUUCGGGAAACAGUAAAAUUUUCUAAGCAUGAGUGACAUCUAAGCCUCCCACUAAUGUAAAUUGAUUUUUAGAUUAUUGAUUCAAAAUAAGGCAUAAUGGUUUUUAUGCCUUAGAUCUACAACAGAAAGCUGAUAAAAAUUUUAAUUAAACCACCGGAAGUGUAAAAGAACUUGACACAAAUCGAUAACGGAGGAAAAAAAAAGAGACCUUAGUGAUAGUUUCGGUUUUCUGCUAAGAAAUCGAAACGGAAGAGCAACAGGAACACCGGAAGAAUGAUGCAGGAGAGAAAAAGAUCACGCGAAGGACUCCUCCGACAGCGAAUAACUGCUCUCCGAUCACGUGAUCUUGCGCCAUAAACCCCUUUCCAUAAAACCACCAGCAGUUUCGUUCUUCGCCGCAGUCAUCGCUAGAUCAUCGGAUAGUGUACGACUACUCUAUGAAUAAAGGAGCCUUUACCUGUUUAAUUAUUUCUUCUACUUUAUUUAAAGAUAGGCCGCCUUCUCCUUAUAUUUAUAAACCUCCUCUAGACCUAGGUAUCAGGUAACAUUGAGAGAAAUGUCUGGGUCAACGUGUAUGUCCACCAGCUGUCAGUUGAACAAGCAGACCACUCUGAAGUACCUGAACUUGCCCCAGCCCGAAGACAAGGUGCAAUGUAUGUAUGUAUGGAUUGAUGGAACAGGGGAGCAA